rnacentral:ncRNA from 1 species
CAUCGCGAGGUGGAAUCUGAAGGAAGCCGGAUGCUGUUGUGGGAAAUCGACAGUGGGCAAAGUUCUGAGCCGACGAACAGAAACCUUAUAUAAGGCUGAAUUAGAGCGGAUAAGUCUGCCAACCAAGAUGAAGUCCAAUGCUACCCGAACUCUAUACAGUAAAUAAGGCGGCUACAUGGAAUGAAAGUUAUC